rnacentral:rRNA from 1 species
CCCUUAGAUGUCCUGGGCUGCACGCGCGCUACACUGAUGCAUUCAACGAGUUUUGUUUGUUCCUUGGCCGAGAGGCCUGGGCAAUCUUUUGAACUUGCAUCGUGAUAGGGAUAGAUUAUUGCAAUUAUUAAUCUUGAACGAGGAAUUCCUAGUAAACGCAGAUCAUCAAUCUGCAUUGAUUACGUCCCUGCCCUUUGUACACACCGCCCGUCGCACCUACCGAUUGAAUGGUCCGGUGAAGCCUCGGGAUUGUGGUUGGUUUCCUUUAUUGGAGAUUGAUUGCGAGAACUUGUCUAAACCUUAUCAUUUAGAGGAAGGUGAAGUCGUAACA